rnacentral:tRNA from 1 species
UGAGUGAUCGACUAAUUGGCAAGUCUCCAUUUUUUGGGAGUGUACGAUGCUUGUUCGAAUCAAGCUCACUCAG